UGCAGCACAAAGAAGGGGGAACCCAGGCAGAGCCCAGUGGAUUCCCUGAGGGAUAUGGUUCCUGUUUGCCUAUUUCCAUCCACAACUCUGCCAGAGACGAAAGCAGUGUUUGAAACAAUUCACCAAGAUUUCCAUCUGGAAUCAUCAAGAAUGGAAUUGAUCAAAUUCCUUAAGAAAUUUACUUAAAGUCAUGAUUUUGACAGCCUAGUGCUACCUGGAAAAGGGACAGCAGCAGCCUGGAGCAGUUUUCUAGCUAACAAGAAUUUUGUUAGCUAUGUGGCCACCUAGUGGCUCUUCCAUGGAUGUCGCUGAUGCAUUGUCAGGUACACAGACAAUUGCCCACUA
rnacentral:lncRNA from 10 species